AUGGCGAAGGCAGCCCCCUGGGUCAAGAUUGACGCUCAUGCACGAAAGCGUGGGGAGCAAACAGGAUUAGAUACCCUGGUAGUCCACGCCCUAAACGAUGUCUACUAGUUGUCGGGUCUUAAUUGACUUGGUAACGCAGCUAACGCGUGAAGUAGACCGCCUGGGGAGUACGGUCGCAAGAUUAAAACUCAAAGGAAUUGACGGGGACCCGCACAAGCGGUGGAUGAUGUGGAUUAAUUCGAUGCAACGCGAAAAACCUUACCUACCCUUGACAUGGCUGGAAUCCCCGAGAGAUUGGGGAGUGCUCGAAAGAGAAACCAGUACACAGGUGCUGCAUGG
rnacentral:rRNA from 1 species